UCCCUUGUGGCUUAGCGAAUAAAGCAUCCGCCUACAACGUGGGAGACCCGGGUUCGAUCCCUGGGUCGGGAA
rnacentral:tRNA from 1 species